AUUGAACGCUGGCGGCGUGCCUAAUACAUGCAAGUCGAACGGAGUGGCGGACGGGUGAGUAAUAUAUGGCGAAUCUGCCCCUUGCUGGAGGACAACAGUUAAAAAGGACGGCUAAUACGCCAUAGAACGGGAUGAGACUAUAUCGUAUCAGCUAGUCGGUGGGGUAACGGCCUACCGAGGCUAUGACGCGUAACUGGUCUGAGAGGAUGAUCAGUUACAUUGGAACUGAGACACGGUUCAAACUCCUACGGGAGGCAGCAGGAGGGUAAAUUGCGCAAUGGGGGAGAACGUGACGGAGCAUAGGGUCGUGGAGGAUGUCCAUUUUCGGAGAGUAAGCUCGUUUUGUUACGAACGCGUUACCUAACGAAUAAGCACCGGCUAACUCCGUGCCAGCAGCCGCGGUAAUAC
rnacentral:rRNA from 1 species